CCUACGGGUGGCAGCAGUGGGGAAUAUUGCGCAAUGGGCGAAAGCCUGACGCAGCGACGCCGCGUGAGGGAUGAAGGUCCUCGGAUCGUAAACCCCUGUCAGCAGGGAAGCACGGUCACUGUGCCAAUCAGCAGUGAAUUGACGGUACCUGCAAAGGAAGCACCGGCUAAAUCCGUGCCAGCAGCUGCGGUAAUACGUAGGGUGCGAGCGUUAAUCGGAAUUACUGGGCGUAAAGCGCUCGUAGGCGGUAUGUCAAGUCAAGGGUGAAAUCCCCGCGCUCAACGUGGGAACUGCCUUUGAAACUGGCAAACUGGAGUGUGUGAGAGGAUAGUGGAAUUCCAGGUGUAGGGGUGAAAUCCGUAGAUAUCUGGAGGAACAUCGGUGGCGAAGGCGACUAUCUGGCACAUAACUGACGCUGAGGAGCGAAAGCGUGGGUAGCAAACAGGAUUAGAUACCCCUGUAGUC
rnacentral:rRNA from 1 species